rnacentral:rRNA from 1 species
UACAGGGGGCUCGAGCGUUAGUCGGAAUCACUGGGCGUAAAGGGUGCGUAGGCGGUCAAUCAAGUGUUCUGUGAAAUCCCCGAGCUCAACUCGGGAACUGCAGGGCAAACUGAAGGACUUGAAGCAGGUAGGGGCUGGAAGAACAGUUGGUGGAGCGGUGAAAUGCGUAGAUAUCAACUGGAAUGCCGAUGGGGAAGCCGUCCAGCUGGGCCUGUCUUGACGCUGAGGCACGAAAGCGUGGGGAGCAAACAGG